rnacentral:rRNA from 1 species
UUUAUGGAGAGUUUGAUCCUGGCUCAGGAUGAACGCUGGCGGCGUGCCUAAUACAUGCAAGUCGAGCGAACGGAUGAGAAGCUUGCUUCUCUGAUGUUAGCGGCGGACGGGUGAGUAACACGUGGAUAACCUACCUAUAAGACUGGGAUAACUUCGGGAAACCGGAGCUAAUACCGGAUAAUAUUUUGAACCGCAUGGUUCAAAAGUGAAAGACGGUCUUGCUGUCACUUAUAGAUGGAUCCGCGCUGCAUUAGCUAGUUGGUAAGGUAACGGCUUACCAAGGCAACGAUGCAUAGCCGACCUGAGAGGGUGAUCGGCCACACUGGAACUGAGACACGGUCCAGACUCCUACGGGAGGCAGCAGUAGGGAAUCUUCCGCAAUGGGCGAAAGCCUGACGGAGCAACGCCGCGUGAGUGAUGAAGGUCUUCGGAUCGUAAAACUCUGUUAUUAGGGAAGAACAUAUGUGUAAGUAACUGUGCACAUCUUGACGGUACCUAAUCAGAAAGCCACGGCUAACUACGUGCCAGCAGCCGCGGUAAUACGUAGGUGGCAAGCGUUAUCCGGAAUUAUUGGGCGUAAAGCGCGCGUAGGCGGUUUUUUAAGUCUGAUGUGAAAGCCCACGGCUCAACCGUGGAGGGUCAUUGGAAACUGGAAAACUUGAGUGCAGAAGAGGAAAGUGGAAUUCCAUGUGUAGCGGUGAAAUGCGCAGAGAUAUGGAGGAACACCAGUGGCGAAGGCGACUUUCUGGUCUGUAACUGACGCUGAUGUGCGAAAGCGUGGGGAUCAAACAGGAUUAGAUACCCUGGUAGUCCACGCCGUAAACGAUGAGUGCUAAGUGUUAGGGGGUUUCCGCCCCUUAGUGCUGCAGCUAACGCAUUAAGCACUCCGCCUGGGGAGUACGACCGCAAGGUUGAAACUCAAAGGAAUUGACGGGGACCCGCACAAGCGGUGGAGCAUGUGGUUUAAUUCGAAGCAACGCGAAGAACCUUACCAAAUCUUGACAUCCUUUGACAACUCUAGAGAUAGAGCCUUCCCCUUCGGGGGACAAAGUGACAGGUGGUGCAUGGUUGUCGUCAGCUCGUGUCGUGAGAUGUUGGGUUAAGUCCCGCAACGAGCGCAACCCUUAAGCUUAGUUGCCAUCAUUAAGUUGGGCACUCUAAGUUGACUGCCGGUGACAAACCGGAGGAAGGUGGGGAUGACGUCAAAUCAUCAUGCCCCUUAUGAUUUGGGCUACACACGUGCUACAAUGGACAAUACAAAGGGCAG